UCCGGGAUAGCUCAGUUGGUAGAGCGAUCGGCUGUUAACCGAUUGGUCCGUGGUUCGAGUCCACGUCCCGGAGCCA
rnacentral:tRNA from 1 species